GAAUAUUGGACAAUGGGCGAAAGCCUGACGCAGCCAUGCCGCGUGUGUGAAGAAGGCCCUAGGGUUGUAAAGCACUUUCAGUGGGGAGGAAAGGUUACUGGUUAAUACCCAGUAACUGUGACGUUACCCGCAGAAGAAGCACCGGCCAACUCCGUGCCAGACGCCGCGGUAAUACGGAGGGUGCGAGCGUUAAUCGGGAUGACUGGGCGUAAAGCGCGCGUAGGUGGUUUGUUAAGUUGGAUGUGAAAGCCCAGGGCUCAACCUUGGAAUUGCAUCCAAAACUGGCAGGCUAGAGUACAGUAGAGGGGGGUAGAAUUUCCGGUGUAGCGGUGAAAUGCGUAGAGAUCGGAAGGAAUACCAGUGGCGAAGGCGGCCCCCUGGACUGAUACUGACACUGAAGUGCGAAAGCGUGGGUAGCGAACAGG
rnacentral:rRNA from 1 species